UGGAGGCAGCAGUGGGGAAUUUUGCACAAUGGGCGAAAGCCUGAUGCAGCAACACUGCGUGGAGGAAGACGGCCUUCGGGUUGUAAACUCCUUUUAUCUGGGAAUAAUCUUGAAGGUACCAGAUGAAUAAGCACCGGCUAACUACGUGCCAGCAGCCGCGGUAAUACGUAGGGUGCAAACGUUAUCCGGAUUUAUUGGGCGUAAAGCGCUCGUAGGUGGAUUAGAAAGUCAGAUAUUAAAUAUCCCGGCUCAACUGGGAGCGUGUAUCUGAAACUUCUAGUCUUGAGGUAUGUAGGGGAAGAUGGAACUUGUGGUGUAGCAGUGAAAUGCGUAGAUAUCACAAGGAACGCCAAUGGUGAAGACAGUCUUCUGGACAUUACCUGACACUGAGGAGCGAAAGCGUGGGGAGCGAACGGGAUUAGAUACCCCUGUAGUCAA
rnacentral:rRNA from 1 species